ensembl:snoRNA
GCAUGAAUAUGGAUUUGUAACAGGUCUGAUCCCAUGGCCCUCUCACAGUGUCCCAUGAAAAAGCAAACUGUCACCCCAAACCAAUGCCUAGCUUUACCCCAUGGGCUUCAGGCAAUGAAGCGUGUUGCAGAAGG